GACUAACCACUCCAGUGGCAUAGUGGUUAGAACGUCCGCCUCGGAUGCUGGAGGUCGUGGGUUCGAUCCUUGGUUGAGUCA